rnacentral:rRNA from 1 species
UACGGAGGAUGCGAGCGUUAUCCGGAUUUAUUGGGUUUAAAGGGUGCGUAGGCGGCCGAGUAAGUCAGCGGUGAAAUUUUGCAGCUUAACUGUAACAGUGCCGUUGAUACUGCAUGGCUAGGAUUUGGUUGCUGUGGGUGGAAUGUGUGGUGUAGCGGUGAAAUGCUUAGAUAUCACACAGAAUAUCAAUUGCAAAGGCAGCUCACAAAGCCAAGAUUGACGCUGAGGCACGAAAGUGUGGGGAUCAAA